rnacentral:rRNA from 2 species
UGGGGUAACGGCCUACCAAGGCGACGAUGCGUAGCCGACCUGAGAGGGUGAUCGGCCACACUGGAACUGAGACACGGUCCAGACUCCUACGGGAGGCAGCAGUAGGGAAUCAUCCGCAAUGGGCGAAAGCCUGACGGUGCAACGCCGCGUGAACGAAGAAGGUUUUCGGAUCGUAAAGUUCUGUUGUGAGGGAAGAACACGUGCCGGUCGAACAGGCCGGCACCUUGACGGUACCUCACGAGAAAGCCCCGGCUAACUACGUGCCAGCAGCCGCGGUAAUACGUAGGGGGCAAGCGUUGUCCGGAAUUAUUGGGCGUAAAGCGCACGCAGGCGGUCUCGUAAGUCUGAUGUGAAAGCCCACGGCUCAACCGUGGAGGGUCAUUGGAAACUGGGAGACUUGAGUGUAGGAGAGGAAAGUGGAAUUCCACGUGUAGCGGUGAAAUGCGUAGAUAUGUGGAGGAACACCAGUGGCGAAGGCGACUUUCUGGCCUACAACUGACGCUGAGGUGCGAAAGCGUGGGGAGCAAACAGGAUUAGAUACCCUGGUAGUCCACGCCGUAAACGUUGAGUGCUAGGUGUUAGGGGUUUCGAUGCCCUUAGUGCCGAAGUUAACACAUUAAGCACUCCGCCUGGGGAGUACGGCCGCAAGGCUGAAACUCAAAGGAAUUGACGGGGGCCCGCACAAGCAGUGGAGCAUGUGGUUUAAUUCGACGCAACGCGAAGAACCUUACCAGGUCUUGACAUCCUUUGCCCGCUCUGGAGACAGAGUUUUCCCCUUCGGGGGACAAAGUGACAGGUGGUGCAUGGUUGUCGUCAGCUCGUGUCGUGAGAUGUUGGGUUAAGUCCCGCAACGAGCGCAACCCUUGACCUUAGUUGCCAGCAUUCAGUUGGGCACUCUAGGGUGACUGCCGGUGACAAACCGGAGGAAGGUGGGGACGACGUCAAAUCAUCAUGCCCCUUAUGACCUGGGCUACACACGUGCUACAAUGGAUGGUACAAAGGGUGGCGAAGCCGCGAGGUGGAGCGAAUCCCAGAAAGCCAUUCUCAGUUCGGAUUGCAGGCUGCAACUCGCCUGCAUGAAGCCGGA